UAUUUAUUUAAAGAAACUUGAAUUAAUCCAAGGAAUCGCCGAUAUUCAAAAAACUUUAAGCCAAUUCCUUCCGAAAAUGGAAGUUUCUAUUCAUGAUACAAUAUCGUGGCAAAUAUCUUGGCGAGUAUCUUGCUCAACUUUUUUUCGUUGACCUCUUUUCCAAGAUCUCUCUCGCCUCUUAAAAUCGUAUACUCGCGGGAAAAAAUGGCGAUUGCGUUUGCGUCGAACCAAACCUAACCUAACCAAAAAUACGUUUAUAGACUCCCGCACGAUCGAGGAGAGAAUUCCAUUUUCAGUCAGGAAUUUAAUUCAUCGUGGAAUUUACGGGUGGAUUUGUUGCGCGAGAAAGGAAGAGACUGGUGGUCGAGAGGUGGUGGUCGCUCUGCCUGUAAGAGGAUAAAGUUUUACGAGCUCGUGAAAAAAAACAUUGACGAUUCGAAAGCUUGCGGCAACAACUGAUAUUCAUCUAUUGACGUGGCAAACAGUUUGGCAAUCCUAUCUCGACACGAUUGUUUCUUCUAUCAAAUGAGAGAUGUUUUUUGUUUUAAUUUAAAUUUUCUUAAAUUAUUAUCUCUAUAUUGUAAUAUUCUAUAAAAUAAUCUAACGAAAAUAACCUCUUUUCUCGUAUGAAAUAAAGAAAAUUUAAAUACAUAAAACAAAUAAAAAUCGAUAAUUAUAACAGUGCCGGGAAGUAUAUUUCAACGAUUAAUAAAAAGGUAUUCUUUUUUCAAAAAGUUACCAACAAAAAUUUUUCUUCGAAAUAAUUUAAAUUAGGUUAGAUCAAGUUUUAAUCGUAUGUUACAAAUUAAGAAAAAUUAACCCAAAGAAUUAAACAACUCGCUAUUUCCGUGAGAAGAGAAAAAAUCCAUCCACAAGGAGGGGAAAAAAUUGAUAGUAUCCAAGAGACGUUUUAAGAAUCCAGAAUAAAUUAUCAGAGGACGAGAAGAAAAAGAAAAAGAGAGGAGGAGAAAAUGUAAGGCAGAAAGGAAGCGGACAAAAGGAGCGACGUUUGACUACGUCCUACGUAAUUUCCUACAAGAGUUACUUUCAAUUAAGUCCUUUGUGCCAUACCGAUCGAUCCGCUCGCCAAUUCCCUUCAACUUAAUUAGACUAACGAUUUUUCAUGCCCGAUAUACGAAGUUUUGAACACGUGGACGUGAAAAUAACGCUGUUCACCCAUUCUCGUGUUUUCAAACAAUUCUUUCCCAGCUGGAUCGCGAACUCGCGCAGGCGCGCACGCUUGGAACAAAUCUCGCGAGUGGUGGGGGAAGAGGAAAAGGAGAGGGGGAAAGAAGUACAUCCAUCUUAUCUGUCGAUUCGCCGCUAAAUGAAUUCGCAAGUAAAUCGAUUAAUCUUUCCGCAAUGAAUACCUUUCGUCCAAGGAUCUUUUCGCUUGGGAAUUUCGAACGUUUCUGCCUUUAACUUUCUACUCUCGAGUAGAAGUACCAGAAAUCGUAUUAAGCAUUUUAAUCGGGAUAAUGGAGUGGCUCUCGACUCUCGUAACACACAGUUAUCGGUUGGAAUAGGCAUCGUUCGAAAAAUUAAAGGAAAUCGAAAAUUUUCUUCUCCCGGAGAAAAGACGUCUCCGUAAACUCGUAUAAGUAAACAAAAUUAGUCCCACGAGCUGUUAGAAACCGAGGCGCUGAUUAAACUUGAUUUACGUAAUCACAGUUGCCAACAAGUUCCGUGUAUCUUCUGCCGUAAAGUUUGCCGUCUGCUGUAAUUUCUUACGUAUAACGAUUAGUAUCAAACAGUGUUGAGUUUAUCCUUAAAAAAAUGACGCGUGAUCUAAAAUUAUACAACAAUUUAAUUAACGUUUUAUUAUUAUUCUAGGCAAGAAUAGGAUGAGAAACAAAUUAGUCUUCUUUAACUGGAAUAAUUUAUCGGCUGGAUAUAACGAACGAGAAGAGGGAAAAUAACACGUUGUUGGAUGGAAUUGAGAUGGGCGUGUUAAAAUGAAAUCGCAGUUUAAUAGUUUUUCCAAUUUAUUCAUACCUUUUUGCGAUAAAUUAUUAAUCGAUAAUUAUUAAGAAUUACAACUUAGAAAAUUUUCUUACGCAAUUUUCAAACAUUUUUUUUUUCUCAUGGAAAUUUCGAUCGAUAAUAUAAAUAAUCAUUAAACGUACAAGUAAUAAAUUAAGGAACGGAUAAAUAUGGAGAACGGUUUGAUAAACAGGUCACGACAGUUUGCGUCAAACGGUGCAUCUAUCGAUCGAAUAACGAACACCCACUCAUUGUCAGUUUCAUUCCCAAACGGUUGAUCCAAUCGAACAUAAACGUAAACGUAUUAAUAUCGUUUAACACGAUUCCAACCAGCUUUAUCCAUUCCCUCGCUGGUGAAGGUGUAAACGUUAGAUAAAUUGGCGUUGCAGGAUCAAAAAAAAAUAAAAAAAUAAAAAAAUAAAAAGGAAUCGAAGAGUUCGAGAAUAUAUCGAAAAUCGAGUUCGGAUUUCAAUCUUUCCUUUUUUUUUUUUUUUCUUUUUCUUUCUUCUUCGAACAGAAUGAAUCUUCGAUUCAUCCUUGAAAAAUUAUUAUUGGACGAAUGAUGGAUCGAGAUACUUGACUUCUUUCGAACAACUCUACGCUCUAUGAAACUGGAACGAAACUUUCCUAUUUGAGGGAGCAAUAAAAUCAAGAGAGGGCGCUCGGUACGACGAUCUAAAUAUUCUUUCGAAGAAUUACAGUCUGAAGUUAGAAACUUUUUUUUCUUUGAGACGCUCAACAGAACUUGGAAGAUUAUGUUCUCUCGAAGAAUCAAGCUCUCGAACGAAAUUUUCCUCUUUCGAGCGCUCAUACAAGCGAUCCAAACGAUUCGAUUAUAAUCCGAAGUUGGAAACUUUUGGAGGGGCGUUCAUAAAACGAUCCAAAUGAUUAGAAGAGUAUAUUCUUUCGAAAAACUAUACUUUCAAACUAUAAGGAAAUUUUUUUCUGUGGAAAAUUUUUUUGAAAAAUUAUAAUCUAAAAUUAGGAAUUUUUUUUUGAAGGUGUUCAUAAAACUAUCCAAAUGAUUAGAAGAUUAUAUUCUUUCGAAGAACUAUGCUUUCAAACUAUAGGAAAAUUUUCUUCUGUGGAAUGAAAUCGAAAAGAGGCGUUCAUAAAUAAAUAAUUCAAAUGAUUGGAAGAAUUCUUUUGAGGAAUUAUAAUCUGAAGUAAGAAACUUUUGGAGGUGUUCAUAAAACGAUCCAAAUGAUUAGAAGAAUACAUUUUUUCCUUAUUGGAAAAAUUCUUUUAAUCUGAAGUUAGAAACUUUUGGAGGCGUUCAUAAAACGAUCCAAAUGAUUAAAAAAGUAUGUUCUUUCGAAAAACUAUGCUUUUAAAUUAUAAGAAAAUUUUUUUCUGUGGAAUAAAAAAAUUGGAAAAAGUUUUUUGAAAAAUUAUAAUCUAAAAUUAGGAAUUUUUUUUUUGAAGGUGUUCAUAAAACGAUCCAAAUGAUUAGAAGAGUAUAUUCUUUCCUUAUUGGAAGAAUUCUUUUAAUCUGAAGUUAGAAACCUUUGGAGGCGUUCAUAAAACGAUCCAAAUGAUUAGAAGAGUAUAUUCUUUCCUUAUUGGAAGAAUUCUUUUAAUCUGAAGUUAGAAACCUUUGGAGGCGUUCAUAAAACGAUCCAAAUGAUUAGAAGAGUAUAUUCUUUC